rnacentral:rRNA from 1 species
CGGAGGAAAAGAAACCAACAGGGAUUGCCCCAGUAACGGCGAGUGAAGCGGCAACAGCUCAAAUUUGAAAUCUGGCUCCGGCCCGAGUUGUAAUUUGUAGAGGAUGCUUUUGGCGAGGUGCCUUCUGAGUUCCCUGGAACGGGACGCCAGAGAGGGUGAGAGCCCCGUAUAGUCGGACACCUAGCCUCUGUAAAGCUCCUUCGACGAGUCGAGUAGUUUGGGAAUGCUGCUCAAAAUGGGAGGUAUAUCUCUUCUAAAGCUAAAUAUAGGCCAGAGACCGAUAGCGCACAAGUAGAGUGAUCGAAAGAUGAAAAGCACUUUGAAAAGAGGGUUAAAUAGCACGUGAAAUUGUUGAAAGGGAAGCGCUUGUGACCAGACUUGUGCCGGGCUGAUCAUCCAGUGUUCUCACUGGUGCACUCGACCCGGCUCAGGCCAGCGUCGGUUCUCGCGGGGGGACAAAAGCUUCGGGAACGUGGCUCCUUCGGGAGUGUUAUAGCCCGCUGCUCAAUACCCUCGCGGGGACCGAGGUUCGCGCUCUGCAAGGACGCUGGCAUAAUGGUCAUCAGCGACCCGUCUUG